rnacentral:hammerhead_ribozyme from 1 species
AUCCAGUUGACGAGUCCCAAAUAAGACGAAACGUGAGUCCUGGAU